rnacentral:rRNA from 1 species
CCAUGCCGCGUGUGUGAAGAAGGCCUUCGGGAUGUAAAGCACUUUUGUCCGGAAAGAAAGCGAAUCGGCUAAUACACGGUUUGGAUGACGGUACCGGAAGAAUAAGCACCGGCUAACUUCGUGCCAGCAGCCGCGGUAAUACGAAGGGUGCAAGCGUUACUCGGAAUUACUGGGCGUAAAGCGUGCGUAGGCGGUCUGUUAAGUCUGCUGUGAAAUCCCCGUGCUCAACCUGGUAAUGGCAGUGGAAACUGGCGGGCUAGAGUACGGUAGAGGAUGGUGGAAUUCCAGGUGUAGCUGUGAAAUGCGUAGAGAUCGGGAGGAACACCAGUGGCGAAGGCGGCCAUCUGGACCAGUACUGACGCUUAGGUACGAAAGCGUGGGGAGC